rnacentral:rRNA from 1 species
GCAAGGUGGUCCCACUCCUUCCCAUUCCGAACAGGACAGUGAAACGCCUUAGCGCCGAUGAUAGUUGGUUGUAUUUCCAGUGAAAGUAGGACAUUGCUUGGC